rnacentral:lncRNA from 1 species
AAGGCCCUGGCCUUCUCCUGUGAGCACCCCCAGCCCAAGCCCUGUGCGUGGCUGACGGGGGCUUAAGGCAGGAGACCAGUGACCAUCCAGGUCUCUCCGCUUGAAACGAUAAAACAAACUCAGGAGACUCACUCACAGAGGAUUCCGUCCCGUCCCCAGAAAGAACCUCCGCUUACCCCCGAUGGAAAAGCAGCACAGCCCCCUCCCAAGAAAGGCGAGUUUGGAAGCCCUUGCAGGCCAGAAGCCCUCUCUCCAAAUUUGCAAACCACGGACCCUCGCCUGCCUCUCUUCCGGCAGUGAAGGGAGGGAACCAUCAACGACGUGUCCUGCAGCCGCCCUGGGCCCUGUGAACUGAGAUUUCUGGGGUACUGCCUCCUCCCCUGUGCUCCCAGUCCAUGCCCAGCCAGCCGUUCAGAGGAGCAAGGGUAGGCUGCGCCUUCAGGUGGGAGACGGGCAGACUCCGAGGGCUGGGGACAGUUCUGGCCACCAGGAUGCAGCGGUGUGUCCCACCAAGGACACCUCCUGCCCUGCACCCCCAGCCUGCCUCAGUGACUCUCCCCAAAAGCCCCUCGGCCUUCUUUGCCGAGGGCAGACGCAGAGGGCACAGGUCUGCGGGGUGCAGGCCGGCUAACGCUGCCUCGCUGCUCAGUUUCUCCCUGGUCCUGCCGUCACCCAGGGCCCGUCCGUCACCCAGGGCCAGCACAAAGCCCAAUGCAGGGCCCUCCUCUUCCUUCAAUUCAGGGAGAAACACGGCAAAACUGAAAGCCACCGACCAACCAGCCAGGCUGCGGUGACUUGGAUCUGAACAGAUUUAUUUUGUGUAUUUUUUUCUUUUUCUCAGUUUCGUAGCAAAUGAAAAAAGAACUCAACGAAAACCAACUACACAACAAAACUUUCAACGAGUCGGCGCGCCUUCCACUCCGAGUGCUCAGGGGAGGGGUGUGGAGCGGCUGGAAUCCCACUGAUGGCCCCUGAGGGCCUCCGAAAACGGGCAGAUCCCCCAGGCGCCUGGCCCAGCCUACAGGGCCUGGAGCACCCGCCUCCUCGCCCUCUCUCCCGGCUAGUCCAAAGAGCGACGAAGCAUUAAAGAAAGAUUCCACAAACAAAACGAAACACAAUUUAAAUUAAAAUAAAAACACUUUCUCCACCCGCCCCAUGCCAGAAGGCUCUGGCCCAAGCCUCCUCUUAAAAAAAAAAAUUUUCUGCUAGAAAUACUGUGCAUUACUUUUUUCUUUCACUUCUCUUGAAGGUUAAAACAAGAUGUAUUUCCCCAGGAGUUACAGAUAUGUUCUGGUGCAUAGAGAGACAGCAGCUCGGGAUCCGGGCCAGCCCCCACCCGACUGAGCACAGGACUCACCCCCCUCCCCCCACCCCCGGUUGAGCAUAGUAGGACAGCAGGCCUGGACACAGCACGGGUGACGUCCCUGGCUUCGACCUCCAAGGAACGCCGGUAGCAGGGUCGGGGGCAAGCGGGGAGGGGGCAGGCAGGGGCCGGGCCCCUCCUGGCGAGCGACUCAUGCUGUGACUCGCGACUGAGGGCGGACCCCGGCUGGGGAAAGAAGGGGCUUCCUCCAAGGUUUUCUUUUCUAAUCACCAAGCAUAAUAAUUAUAAAUACUUCGAAAAUAAGACCGAUUUUAAAACGGGGAGGGGAAGUUAAAAAAGGCAAGGAAAGGGAGGCUGAGAAGAGAACGAAGGAGGGCGGGGGCAGGCAGGGGCCACCCGGGAAGGGACGGCAGCGCGGUCCCUCUAGGCUGGCAGGGCGAAGGUGGGAACGGAGAACCACGUUCAACGUAUGUACAAGCGGACGCUUGGAAAGAAGUUAGACCUGGCUCAAGUUUCCUUAGAAAUCACCGUUCUCCGCUCAACCUCAGGACGGCGACCCGGGCCGACGCGCGCGAACGGGGACCGGGAGCGAAGGGGCCUCCAGCCCCGCGCCCGCAGACUUGGCACCGGGGCCAGCACGGCCGGG